CAGGGAUACUCCAGGAAUGUUCCAGGGAUAUUCCACGGCUAUUCCAGGGAUAUUCCUGAGAUAUUCCAGGGCUAUUCCAGGAAUGUUCCAGGAAUAUUCCAUUGAUAUUCCAGAAAUAUUCCAGGGCUAUUCCAGGGCUACUCCAGAGAUAUUCCAGGGCUAUUCCAGGCCUAUUCCAGGUUUCCAGUGCAGAGGAGGCAGCACUGGAGCAAAUCCUUCCCAUUCCCUGAGCCAGGUGGGAGCAGAGGGAAGAAAAAUCCCCAUUUGAAGGUUUGAAAAAUCCCGGUGUUUUAUUUCCAGUCAAUCUGAAAUGAAUGCACCAAGGCUCCCCCGGGUUCUGGGACAGGCAGGGAAAGGGAAAGAAGGGUGGGAAGGGAAGGGGAGAUGCCCAAAAUGUGGCCAGGACUGAUCCAGCAGAGCUUUGCUUCCCACCUGGAAUACUUUUGGGUUCUCUGCUCACCUGGGCAAAGCUUUGGAUAAACAGUUCUGGGACAGUGAGGAAUCCAGUUAAAAAAAUAAAUUUAAAAAAAAGAGUGGCUUCUAUGGGAAGUGACUUCCUAAAUGCACAAAAAGCAAAACAAAGCAAAAAAAAAAAAAAAAGGGGGGGGGGGGGGGGGGGGGGGGACAAAAAGCAAAACAAAGCAAAAAAAAAACCAAACCCACAAAAACCCCAAAUAGCUGAGCAGGCUGGGAGUCGUUGUUAUUUGUUAUUUAUAGAAUUUGGGUGGGAAGGGAGGGAGGAAUUUUGGGGCCAGGCAGGCCAGGAGCAGCGUCCAUCCAGUCCAUCCCUGCUGGAGUUUGACCUUGGUGACAAAACCCAGGUACCAAAUCCCUGCAGGAAUUGCUCCUACAAGGGGUUUACAGGGAAGAGAAAACAGAAAUUCCCUGCAAGAAGCACCUCUGGCAUUGCAGCAGUUUGGGAGGAAUUAUUCCUUAAGCAGCAAGAAUGGGUUUAAUGUAAAUAUAUUUUUAUUUUGUGGGUAUCGAGGCACCAUUUCAGUGUGGGAAGAAGGGAUUUUUAAAUCUGGACUGGAAAACAGGGACAACGAAACUUCUCAGGACACAAAGCUGGUUCUUUUCCUCAUCUCCCAGCACCAGGACUCAUCCCAAAACCAACAUAAAAAAUCCCAAAAAUGCUGUGGGGAUGGGGAAUGGGGACAACAACAGGGAAAAGGCCCAGGCUGGGGCAGAAAAACUCCCCAAAAGAUGGAAAAUCUGGGAAAUCAGGGGAGGAAGGACACAGGGGGAAAUCCUGGGUGUCCUUAAGGAAAAGCAAUUAUCCCUGGAGGCUGGGAUAUCAGAUCCAAGGAGAUUCUGGGAAUUACAGAGCUGGCAGAAAUUAUGGAGGGAGUAAUUAAAGCCCAAGCCAGGCUGGUAAUUGGGUAACCUUGGGGGUUAAACCAGCACAGGUCCUGCCAGGGAAAAUUUGUGUCUUCCCCACCUAAAUCCUUAAAAAAAAAAGUUAAUUGAGGAGCAGAUCACUGGGAGCUGCUGGGCACUGUGAUUAACCAGGAGAAUAAUUUGCAUUUCUCCAGCCCCUUUCAUGCCAGCACAGAUUGAAACCACCUUCCCUGAGCUCCAGGGAUUUCCUAAAAAAAAUAAAAUUAAAAAAAAAAAAAUCUGCCUCAGUUCAGGGGAAACUGAGGCAGAAAAAAGGGAUUUUCCCAAAGAAAUCUGUGGAAACACAAAAUUCUCAGAGCUGCUGCUCACACUCUCUGCAGGUUGGGGCUUCUCCCUCAAGCACAAAUCCCAAAAAUCUGGGAUGUGGGAAGGGAUUUUGGGGCCGUGCUGGGGGUGCUGGUGCCCAUCCCACAGGAGGGGGAACUCCAGGCAUGGAAAAUUCCGGGAGAACUCCAGCAAAUCCCCUGGGAGGGUUUGGGUUUCUGCAGACCCAGGCAGGCGCUUUCCAAGGAAAUUCAAUCAGGGGCAACACAGCCCCAAGGCCUGGCUGGGUUUUGUUCAAACCCAGAAACUUUGAAAAAAGCCAGAAUUCAGCUUUUUUUAAUUUUUUUUUUUUUAUUUUUUUUUAAUUUUUGGGCUUGGCCACCAUUUAUAACAAAGUUAUUUUCAUUUGAGAGGAGGGAAUCGCAGCCAGUGGGUGUACGAGGGUUAUGUAUUCCAGCGCGAGGUCCCAAGCUGUGAGCAGCUUGUGACAUUUGGGGAUCCUCGCUGUGUGCUGGCUCUUCAGGGACGGUGAUAAUGCACUUUCCAACUAGAGGGAGCUGCUGGUACCACCCCUGAUGCCGAUUCCGAACCUCCCAGCCUAAUUCCUUUGUGCGGAACGCGCGGCGGGCGCGCCGAGGUUUUAACAAAACCGAGUUAAAUUACCCCGAGUCGUUCAGAUUAAAAGGUGCCGCUCAGUCCUGGCAGCACAAUCAUCAAAUUAACCUGUGGAGUUCGGGGAAAAGUGAAGCAGGUCCCGGGUUGCUUUCUGUGGAAUGAUCCGGGUCAUGAAAAGGGUGGGUAGGAGGGAGUGAGAAGCCGGGGCUGCUCCAGACAAAAAGCGUGCGGGAGGAAGGAGCGAACAAAGGAACAAAGGGACCUGUGGCCAGGCACCGAGGUGGCCCGGCCCAGCCUCGGGUCCCCAGGCCACUCGUUACAGGGGCUCCUGCAGCAGGUGAGGGCUCCUGCCAGCGGGAUUCAGGAAAAGCCUUUCCCAGGGGAUGGUUGGAGGGCUCCUGGGGGGCUGAUGGCCCUGCUGGGGUCUGGGGGAUGCUCCGUGUCCUCACCAGGGCCAAAGCAAAGGCAGGUUCCAUCCGGCAGGGCAGGUCCAUGUGUGGGCAUUUCCGUGGGUACCCUCCCAGUAAAGAAUUCUGAGUGAGAAUUCCCAGCCCCCAGGGGAUAUUUUGGGUCUGAGCGUUUCGUGUUUGGAGCUGAGCACAAAACAGAUUUUUCCUCCUCCUCCUCUUACACCUCGAGGCAAAAUCCUUGGGAACAGGCAGAAAGAAUUAAGGAAAAAUGUGUGUCCCAAACUCUGAGCUGCCAAACUGGGACACAGGCAAGGACUGAGGACUGGAGGGGUGUUGGAACCUUCAAAAUUGGGAGUUUUGAACUUUCUGUGCUGUGUGUCAAAAUUUAGAAUGUAAGGUUUUAAAAUAAAGAAACAGAUGUGAAGCAAAAUAAAAAUUUUAAAGCAAA
ensembl:lncRNA